AUACUGACUGCCAGGUGUAAAGGGCGGAGCUUAUAACAAUGAUUGACAGGGAGCUAAGAUGGAGGCGGCUCUCUCUAUACUGACUGCCAGGUGUAAAGGGUGGAGCUUAUAACAAUGAUUGACAGGGAGCUAAGAUGGAGGUGGCUCUCUCUAUACUGACUGCCAGGUGUAAAGGGCGGAGCUUAUAACAAUGAUUGACAGGGAGCUAAGAUGGAGGUGGCUCUCUCUAUACUGACUGCCAGGUGUAAUGGGCGGAGCUUAUAACAAUGAUUGACAGGGAGCUAAGAUGGAGGUGGCUCUCUC